rnacentral:rRNA from 1 species
GACGAACGCUGGCGGCGUGCCUAAUACAUGCAAGUAGGACGCAGUUGCGAACGGGUGAGUAACGCGUAGGUAACUGCCUAUUAGAGGGGGAUAACUAUUGGAAACGAUAGCUAAUACCGCAUACUAGUAGAUGGACCUGCGUUGUAUUAGCUAGUAGGUAGGGUAAUGGGCUACCUAGGCGACGAUACAUAGCCGACCUGAGAGGGUUGUCGGGCAAACGGGGACUGGGACACGGCCCAGACUCCUACGGGAGGCAGCAGUAGGGAAUUGUCGGCAAUGGGGGGAACGCUGACCGAGGCACGCCGCGGGGGUGAAGAAGGUUUUCGGAUCGUAAAGCUCUGUUGUUAAGGAAGCGGUACUUAACCAGAAAGGGACGGCUAACUACGUGCCAGCAGCCGCGGUAAUUC